rnacentral:rRNA from 1 species
CCUACGGGAGGCAGCAGUGGGGAAUAUUGGGCAAUGGGCGCAAGCCUGACCCAGCAACGCCGCGUGAAGGAAGAAGGCUUUCGGGUUGUAAACUUCUUUUAAGAGGGAAGAGCAGAAGACGGUACCUCUUGAGUAAGCCACGGCUAACUACGUGCCAGCAGCCGCGGUAAUAAGUAGGUGGCAAGCGUUGUCCGGAUUUACUGGGGGUAAAGGGCGUGCAGCCGGGAAGACAAGGCAGAUGUGAAAUCCCGCGGCUCAACCGCGGAACUGCAUUUGAAACUGGUUUUCUUGAGUACCGGAGAGGUCAUCGGAAUGCCUGGUGUAGCGGUGAAAUGCGUAGAUAUAAGGAAGAACACCAGUGGCGAAGGCGGAUGACUGGACGGCAACUGACGGUGAGGCGCGAAAGCGUGGGGAGCAAACAGGAUUAGAUACCCGGGUAGUC